GAGAAGACCCCAGUACAAUCAACACACACCAUGUUCUCUACAUCUCUACUGCUCCUGCUGGCAGCUGCUUCCUAUGUGCAUGGUGAAGAACUGACUCAGCCUGCUUCCAUGACAGUCCAGCCAGGCCAGAGUCUCUCCAUCAACUGCAAGGUUUCAUAUUCAGUUACCAGCUAUCGUACAGACUGGAUCCGACAACCUGCAGGAAAAGCUCUGGAGUGGAUUGGAUACAUCAGUAGUGGUGGUAGUACAGCUUACAGUGACAAACUGAAAAAUAAGUUCAGCAUCUCCAGAGACACUGCUACUAACACAAUAACAAUUGGAGGACAGAAUCUGCAAACUGAAGACACAGCUGUGUAUUACUGCGCAAGAGUCACAGUGACACAGAAUAGUGGAUUCUCCUUACAAAAACAUUUCUCCUUUUGAGAUUCUCCUUUGAGACAUGUUAGAGAUCCUCUCAAUGCAACUAAUAAACCAUCUCAAUCACACUAUUACAUUUUAUCCAGAGGAAUGAAUUUCAC